UACGAAGGGGGCUAGCGUUGCUCGGAAUCACUGGGCGUAAAGGGUGCGUAGGCGGGUGUUUAAGUCAGGGGUGAAAUCCUGGAGCUCAACUCCAGAACUGCCUUUGAUACUGAAGAUCUUGAGUUCGGGAGAGGUGAGUGGAACUGCGAGUGUAGAGGUGAAAUUCGUAGAUAUUCGCAAGAACACCAGUGGCGAAGGCGGCUCACUGGCCCGAUACUGACGCUGAGGCACGAAAGCGUGGGGAGCAAACAGG
rnacentral:rRNA from 1 species